rnacentral:rRNA from 1 species
CACGUGGGUAACCUGCCUUACAGAGGGGGAUAACAGUUUGAAAAGACUGCUAAUACCGCAUAAGCACACAGUACCGCAUGGUACGGGGUGAAAAGAUUUAUCGCUGUAAGAUGGACCCGCGUCUGAUUAGCUAGUUGGCAGGGUAACGGCCUACCAAGGCGACGAUCAGUAGCCGACCUGAGAGGGUGAUCGGCCACAUUGGGACUGAGACACGGCCCAA